rnacentral:rRNA from 1 species
CACGUAGGGUGCGAGCGUUAAUCGGAAUUACUGGGCGUAAAGCGUGCGCAGGCGGUUUUGUAAGCCAGAUGUGAAAUCCCCGGGCUUAACCUGGGAAUGGCAUUUGGGACUGCAAGGCUGGAGUGUGGCAGAGGAGACUGGAAUUCCCGGUGUAGCAGUGAAAUGCGUAGAUAUCGGGAGGAAUACCGAUGGCGAAGGCAGGUCUCUGGGCUGACACUGACGCUCAUGCACGAAAGCGUGGGGAGCAAACAGG